rnacentral:rRNA from 1 species
CCUACGGGAGGCUGCAGUGAGGAAUAUUGGUCAAUGGGCGCGAGCCUGAUCCAGCCACGUAGCGUGAAGGAUGACUGCCCUACGGGUUGUAAACUUCUUUUAUAAAGGAAUAAAGUGAGGCACGUGUGCCUUUUUGUAUGUACUUUAUGAAUAAGGAUCGGCUAACUCCGUGCCAGCAGCCGCGGUAAUACGGAGGAUCCGAGCGUUAUCCGGAUUUAUUGGGUUUAAAGGGAGCGUAGAUGGGUUGUUAAGUCAGUUGUGAAAGUUUGCGGCUCAACCGUAAAAUUGCAAUUGAUACUGGCAGCCUUGAGUACAGGUGAGGAAGGCGGAAUUCGUGGUGUAGCGGUGAAAUGCUCAGAGAUCACGAAGAACUCCGAUUGCGAAGGCAGCUUACUAAACUGUCACUGACAUUGAUGCUCGAAAGUGUGGGUAUCAAACAGGAUUAGAUACCCGUGUAGUC